ACCUGACUGGCUCAGUCAGUAGAGCAUGAGACCCUUGACCUCAGGGUUGUGAGUUCGAGUCCCACGUUGGGCA
rnacentral:tRNA from 1 species